rnacentral:lncRNA from 1 species
UCGUCUGAGCUGCUUUUUCUCACUUCUCACUUCUUACGUCUGCCGUUUCAACCUAAAGCAAGAAAUUGGCUCUCGCCUCCCCGGUUAUCGAAUUUUCUAUCGCGUGUUCUCCCCAGUUAUGCAGUUUUUAAUUUGCAAUUUUGGAUUUGAAAUCUGUGUGGUAAGAUUUUAACAUUUUCUUAGUCCAGUCGACAAAAAAAUUGGGGAUCUGACCCUAGAACCCUAAAAUUGAUCUGAAUGUGUUGCAAUUUUGUAGGUUGGCUUUACCCUGGCACAUUAAAGCAUGUUCUUCUUCUUCUAUCUUCCUGGUUUCAUUUAGCUUCUUAGUUUAUUUUUCUUGAUUUAUGGUUCUUGGGUGUUCUAGAUUAGGCUUAAGUUGAUUUGCGUUUCUUUAUUUCUAUACACAUUUUACAUGUUUAUUAAUAUUUGACUUCAUACAUAGAACAAGGAAACAUUGAUUGCAUCUUAACUUGCAUCCUAACUUAACUUGAUGCAUACACCAUUGAUCAUCCUUCAUUGAACAUUAUCAUACAAGAAGAUUAACUUAAUUCACAUCAUAAUACAACAUUGAUUGCAUAAGACUUGUACCUGCAAGAGAAAAAUAAAUAAUAUGCAGAGGAUCUAGAAAAGUUUAGAAGCUAUUAAUUAAACUGAGACCCACGAAAUAAAGCAUGAGCUUAAUUAAUUACAAUAGAUUAUCAAUUAAUUACAUUUGAACAUGCUAAUUGACGUUUUGGGUGAAAAUAAAAAGAUUCAAUAUGUAACCGAUACUUUGUUUGAUGGAUCAAAUUGAAAUCAAAAUCUCAAUAUUAUUCUAUCAAAUUUUAUUAAAUAAUAAAAAAGAGAAAUAAAUUAAUAUUUAAUAAAUGAAUAGUAAUAUUUAUGGGAGAUUUAUUUAUUAUUUAUCCUCAAUAAAUAAUUACAUGGUUAUAAGAAAUGAUUUGAUUUCAUUAUAUUUAUGGAGAGUACGAGUUAUAAUGUAUGUGUGACAAGUGACAACUAGUUAAUCUAACUUGAUUCAAAAUUGACAUUGAACUUAUUUUACAUAUUUGGACUUCUAGUUUCUAAAUAAUUAGGCAAAUGAAAAUGAUAAAUACUCUCUCCACCCAAAAAUUCAUAAACGUGAAUUAAUUUAUUUAACUCUCUCUUCUAGAUUAAUUUUAAAUUAAUUCAGACCUAACACAUUUUAACAAUAAAAUUAUAUUGUCCAUUGCUCCCGCCUCUCGACCGUUGAUCUAAGAAUUCUAAAUUAUAGUUUUAAUUUAGAGUUUUGUCAAAUUUAAUUAAAGUAUAGUUCAUUAAUGAAUGAAUGCUCUACUUAUUGAUGAACAUAAUCCAGUAUUACUUAACAAACAUAAAAGGGACAUUUUAUAUCCCUUUUAUGUUUGUUAAGUAAUACUGGAUUAUGGAUGAAUAUUUAUAAUUUAUAUAUGUAAGUUAUUAAAUAAUGAAUAUAAGUUAUUAAUUUAUAUAUGUGUGUGUGUGUGUGUGUGUAUAUAUAUAUAUAUUAAUAACUUAUAUAAAUGAAUGCUAGUGAUUAAUUAAUGAAUGUAAGUUAUUAAUACACACACACACACACACACACACACACACACAUAUAUAUAUAUAUAUAAAAGUUAUUAACUAAAUAAUGUCAGUUAUUAAUAUAUUUAUAUAUAUAUAUAUAUUAAUAACUUAUAUAAAUGAAUGUAAAUUAUUAAUAUAUAUAUAUAUGUGUGUGUAUAUUGNNNNNNNNNNNNNNNNNNNNNNNNNNNNNNNNNNNNNNNNNNNNNNNNNNNNNNNNNNNNNNNNNNNNNNNNNNNNNNNNNNNNNNNNNNNNNNNNNNNNUAUAUAUAUAAAUAUAUAUUAAUAGCUUAUAUAAAUGAAUGUAAGUGAUUAAUUAAUGAAUGUAAGUUAUUAAUAUAUAUAUGUGUGUGUAUAUUGUAUAUAUAUAUAUAUAUAUAUAUAUAUAGAUAUAAUAACUUAUAUAUAUAAAUGUAUAUGUAAGUUACUAAUAUAUAUAUAUAAGUUAUUCGGAUACGGAUUCCGGAUAUCGGAUUCCGGAUAUUCGUAUCCGUCGGAUAUAUUUACGGACGGAUGUUAUCGAAUACGAAUACGCCUAUAUCCGUAUUCGUAUCCGUUUAUUUACGGAUACCUUUAAACCGAAUACAGAUAUAUCCGUUUUUUUCCGAAUGCGAAUAAUAUCCAUUUUUUUUCGAAUACGGAUGCGGACGAAUACGCAUUUUCUAUUUACCAUUUACAACCCUACCACCAGGUAUAUGGAUAGUGUUCCAUUGAUCAUUCCACUUCUUGAGAAAAGAGUAUAGGAGCUCCACAAGAAAGCUAAAAGAAAUAAAUCAGGAACUCAGGUUUUGCAUGUGCAAACUUGUGAAUGAGGAUGAUGCUAAUACUUGGUCAUAAAUACAAACAUAGAUGCAUAAAAUUGUUGUAUGCAAUUUGGUUUCUUCUAGUUGCCAAUAAAGCUGAGGAAGAUGCCUUUUGUUUUGGGUAAUGUCAUGUCAUUUUUCAUCACAAGGGGACAAUGGGCUCUCUCUGUAUACAAAAUAUGCUCAUAACUUUUUGUGUAUCAAGUGAAAAAGAUUUUAUAUGACACUCACAUGGUGGGAUGACAAAUUUUCUGAAAUUAGAGCACUCUUUAUAUAUUUACUGCUUAAGAAUCUUUGAUGGGGCCCUCAUUCUUCAUCCUUCUAGUUUUUAUGCAGGCAUGGCCUCUAAAUUGAUAAUGCUUAAAAAUUAAAAAUAAAGAAAAAAAAAUAGUGAUAAUGAAACUAUUAAAUUGUGAGAGAAAAUAAUUGUUAUUAAGGUGAUGAUACAACGUUCCAAAUUAUCACCCUUUAUUGUACACAAAACUGGAUAGUGUAAGAAUUCGUACACAAAACUGGAUAGUGUAGUAAAAGAUAAUUGUGUAGUCAUCUUUCUUGUAGUGAUUUCAACUUUAGGGAACCUGAUUAUAUUAAUCAUGAUCUUGACAAUUGUUAUUCCUACAUGAGAUAUGAUGUUACCUCUUGUAUUCAUUUUUUGUUGCUUCUUCAUCUCUUAAGCUAUCUUUUAUAGCAUGUGCUGGGCAUGGGAAACCGCAUGAACGUUCAACUAUAAUUCAGGAAUU